GAUGAACGCUAGCGGCAGGCCUAAUGCAUGCAAGUCGAACGGUGUAGCAAUACACAGUGGCGCACGGGUGCGUAACACGUAUGCAACCUACCUAUUAUUGGGGGAUAGCCUUUGGAAACGGAGAUUAAUACCGCAUAAGACAGUGACAUGGCAUCAUGUAGCUGUUAAAGCUUUGGCGAUAAUAGAUGGGCAUGCGUCCAAUUAGUUAGUUGGUGAGGUAAUGGCUCACCAAGACGAUGAUUGGUAGGGGAUCUGAGAGGAUAAUCCCCCACACUGGCACUGAGAUACGGGCCAGACUCCUACGGGAGGCAGCAGUAGGGAAUAUUGGGCAAUGGGCGGAAGCCUGACCCAGCCAUGCCGCGUGCAGGAUGACGGCGUUAUGCGUUGUAAACUGCUUUUUUAUAGGAAGAAGGAGACCUUGCGAGGUUUGGUGACGGUAUUAUAAGAAUAAGCACCGGCUAACUCCGUGCCAGCAGCCGCGGUAAAAC
rnacentral:rRNA from 1 species